CUUUCAGAAUUUCUCCAUGUUGCAUUGUGCUGGAGGACAAGAACUUGUGGGAAACAAAGUGACAAUUCCUGACUGUGUUGAGAAACCUCCUUUAAUCAAGACUUCAAAAAUAAACAAACCAAAACCAAAACCAAAACCAAAACAAAACAAAACAAAAAAACCCAAAAAGAACCACGGUGUGUCAGAUGAUGACAGGAAAGAGCAAAUCAUUACAACUGGGAAGAAAUCUGUGGAAACCAUAGGUUUUAACUCUGUGAUUAAACAGCAGAGUCAACUGAGCAAGUUACAAGAAUCUUCUCUAAGGAAACGUGAAGUAAUUUGUGCUGGUUAAAAAGGAGGUAUUGCCAAAACAAAUCCUAAAAUUACAAGAGUAAAUGUCUCGAAAAACCUGCUGUCACAUGUAGUGAAGUGAUCCAUUUUGCUGAUUAGCUCCAAAACCUGGUCCCUCUUAACACAGUGAAAAUAAACUGCAGUUUCCCUCUGGCUCACCGUCUCUAACAGGAACAUUUCCUGCACUGAAUGGUUUAGUUCUCAGUCAAACAGGAAUAACACAGGUCAAGGUGCCGCAGUGUGCCCCUGGGUGGUAAUUUCUUGAGGAGCUGAACCUGGACUCCAGCAGCACCUUCAUUUCAGAAAGGCCAAAUGAUGCUCCACAGAUGCUCACGUUGUUAGACCUUUCCUCUAAUCCGUCAAUUGAUGAAAACCAGCUGUUCUCGAAAGCCUGUCUGCCCAGAUUAGAGCAACUAAUCCUUUAUGACAUUGGAAUUUCUUCUAUACAUUUUUAGAUGCUGGAAUUGGAAAUAUCCAUGUUCCUGUCUCUGCAGUGCUUUGCAGUAAAUGACAAUCAGAUAUCACAAUGGCCAUUUAUCAAAUGAGCUAGAGAAGUUACAGAGCCUACGAGCUCUGUCCUGCCUAAGAACCCCCUGACUGAAGGCAGCAAAGGAGCCCAGACCAGCAGCUCGUCAUUGCCAAAGUCUGAAGACCCCUGAACAAAUGUGAGAUUCUUUCAGAGAAAAGGCAAGAAGCUGAGCUUGAUACCGAAAAGCUUUUGGAAAUGAGUGGGAAAAUGCUGGUGGACAUCAGGAUCCAGAGGAAAACAGACCAAAUGAAGAAGGCCUUACAGUCUGUCCUAGGUACCAGAUCCUCUGCCAUACAUGGAAGAUAAAACAUCCAAACCAACUUGAACAGAAGGCUCUAGAAAGGCAACUGCCAGCACUAGGAAAUGACCUAUCGUCACUGCAGUUUUAUUCUGUGGAAAAUGGAGAUUGUCUAUUAGUGAGAUGUUAACAACCACCUUUAACCAUUUGGUGGCCAGACUAUCAUGACUGGGGUUCCCUGGAAAGAAAUGAUUUAUUGUAAUAGUUCUACUGUAAAAAAAGUGAGACUUACAACUUGCCCAAAGUAUAAAUUUUUCACUAGG
rnacentral:lncRNA from 1 species